rnacentral:rRNA from 1 species
UCCCUACGGGACGCAGCAGUGGGGAAUAUUGCACAAUGGGGGAAACCCUGAUGCAGCAACGCCGCGUGGGUGAAGGAGCGUUUCGGCGCGUAAAGCCCUGUCAGCGGGGAAGAAGAAAGACGGUACCCGACCAAGAAGCCCCGGCUAACUACGUGCCAGCAGCCGCGGUAAUACGUAGGGGGCAAGCGUUAUCCGGAUUUACUGGGUGUAAAGGGAGCGUAGACGGCAUGGCAAGUCUGAAGUGAAAGCCCGGGGCUCAACCGCGGGACUGCUUUGGAAACUGUUAAGCUGGAGUGCAG